rnacentral:miRNA from 1 species
UAACCUGGAAUCCUGUUACAAUGUGGAAUCUGCUUCAGGGGGUCUGGAUUCUGCAUUUCUAACAAGUUCCUAGGUGACUGC